UGACUNGAGUGCAGAAGGGGAGAGUGGAAUNCCAUGUGUAGCGGUGAAAUGCGUAGAUAUAUGGAGGANCACCAGUGGCGAAAGCGGCUCUCUGGUCUGUCACUGACGCUGAGGCUCGAAAGCGUGGGUAGCGAACAGGAUUAGAUACCCUGGUAGUNCACGCCGUAAACGAUGAGUGCUAGGUGUUAGGCCCUUUCCGGGGCUUAGUGCCGGAGCUAACGCAAUAAGCACUCCGCCUGGGGAGUACGACCGCAAGGUUGAAACUCAAAGGAAUUGACGGGGGCCCGCACAAGCGGUGGAGCAUGUGGUUUAAUUCGAAGCAACGCGAGGAACCUUACCAGGUCUUGACAUCCCGAUGCUAUUCUUAGAGAUAGGAAGUUACUUCGGUACAUCGGAGACAGGUGGUGCAUGGUUGUCGUCAGCUCGUGUCGUGAGAUGUUGGGUUAAGUCCCGCAACGAGCGCAACCCUUAUUGUUAGUUGCCAUCAUUAAGUUGGGCACUCUAGCGAGACUGCCGGUAAUAAACCGGAGGAAGGUGGGGAUGACGUCAAAUCAUCAUGCCCCUUAUGACCUGGGCUACACACGUGCUACAAUGGUCGGUACAACGAGUUGCGAGCCGGUGACGGCAAGCUAAUCUCUGAAAGCCGAUCUCAGUUCGGAUUGGAGGCUGCAACUCGCCUCCAUGAAGUCGGAAUCGCUAGUAAUCGCGGAUCAGCACGCCGCGGUGAAUACGUUCCCGGGCCUUGUACACACCGCCCGUCACACCACGAGAGUUUGUAACACC
rnacentral:rRNA from 1 species